rnacentral:rRNA from 1 species
UCAUGUUGGUCGCGCGAUGAAACCCUUCGGGGUGGAGGGGUGGCGAACGGGUGAGUAACACGUGGGCAAUCUGCCCUUCACUCUGGGACAAGCCCUGGAAACGGGGUCUAAUACCGGAUAACACUCCUGCCUGCAUGGGCGGGAGUUAAAAGCUCCGGCGGUGAAGGAUGAGCCCGCGGCCUAUCAGCUUGUUGGUGGGGUAAUGGCCCACCAAGGCGACGACGGGUAGCCGGCCUGAGAGGGCGACCGGCCACACUGGGACUGAGACACGGCCCAAACUCCUACGGGAGGCAGCAGUGGGGAAUAUUGCACAAUGGGCGAAAGCCUGAUGCAGCGACGCCGCGUGAGGGAUGACGGCCUUCGGGUUGUAAACCUCUUUCAGCAGGGAAGAAGCGAAAGUGACGGUACCUGCAGAAGAAGCGCCGGCUAACUACGUGCCAGCAGCCGCGGUAAUACGUAGGGCGCAAGCGUUGUCCGGAAUUAUUGGGCGUAAAGAGCUCGUAGGCGGCUUGUCACGUCGGGUGUGAAAGCCCGGGGCUUAACCCCGGGUCUGCAUCCGAUACGGGCAGGCUAGAGUGUGGUAGGGGAGAUCGGAAUUCCUGGUGUAGCGGUGAAAUGCGCAGAUAUCAGGAGGAACACCGGUGGCGAAGGCGGAUCUCUGGGCCAUUACUGACGCUGAGGAGCGAAGGCGUGGGGAGCGAACAGGAUUAGAUACCCUGGUAGUCCACGCCGUAAACGUUGGGGAACUAGGUGUUGGCGACAUUCCACGUCGUCGGUGCCGCAGCUAACGCAUUUAAGUUCCCCGCCUAGUGAGUACGGGCCGCAAGGCUAAAACUCAAAUGAAUUUGACCGGGGGAAGCCAC